rnacentral:rRNA from 1 species
UACGGGGGGGGCAAGCGUUGUUCGGAAUUACUGGGGGUAAAGGGCUCGUAGGCGGCCAACUAAGUCCGACGUGAAAUCCCCAGGCUUAACCUGGGAACUGCGUCGGAUACUGGAUGGCUUGAAUUCGGGAGAGGGAUGCAGAAUUCCAGGUGUAGCGGUGAAAUGCGUAGAUAUCUGGAGGAAUACCGGUGGCGAAGGCGGCAUCCUGGACCGACACUGACGCUGAGGCGCGAAAGCUAGGGGAGCAAACGGG